GGGAAUAUUAAAAUGUUGGUGCAUUUCAUGGUCUUCAACACCAUUGUGAGAACAAAAAUCUCUUGUAGGUUCGAUUCCUGCAUAUUCCCGCCA
rnacentral:tRNA from 1 species